ensembl:lncRNA
AAAGUGCUGGGAUUACAGGCCUGAGCCACCGCGCCCGGCCCCUUCCAUGUCCUGAUUUCAUCUUCACUCAAUUCUUUUAUUCAUUUUCUGCGUCUACUAUGUGGAUUGUCUAAAUGAUUAGUAAGAGCACAUUGUGUGGAUAUUGCGUUAUCUCAAAGAACUACCCUGUAAAUACAAGGUCUACAGAUCACAGAGUUCUCAAAUUGUUUGGCACAUAAUUGAUAAUGUUUAUUUAGUUGAUCAAGUGUUCUAUCUUCUAAGUCUCUUCUCUGCUACAAUUCUCCACCCACUCCUGGCAUCUGGCCGACCCCCAAGAACCUGAAGAAGGCCAGGUAAGACUCCUUGCUCUUCCCCUUGCAGUUGGGGACAGUGCUGAAGUUCAACCUUGUCACUGCCUGCCUGCUGACCCAGACCCUCAUCCCACAUCCUCAGAGUAUCCUACAGGCCUGUCUGGCUGGAGAGAGAAGCCUGGCUGGUGACAAAGGGAGGGGCAGGCUACACAUGCUUUUCUGCUUUUAAAUUCCAGUCUUUAUUCAGACUAUUUUUCUAAGUAUGUUUGCAUUUAAAACAGCCAUGGAAGACAGAGAUAGUAUCGCCCUUGGAGCAAGGACAGGUUUGCUUACAGCUUGCAGGGUCUGCCUCCUAAAAAAGGACAGGAGUUUCAUGUAUUUGACUAGCAUCCAUGAACUUUGGCAGGCUAACAUGUUGCCUUGGAAUUGAAUAAACUCUCUGACCCUUGACAUUCUGAUAUGUGUAUUUUAAUGUACUAAGUGAGGUUUAAUUUUAAAAAUAUGAAAAUAAUUAAAGAAUGGAUCUCAUCUUUAAUUCUUUGGAAAGUCUAUUUUACUGCUGUUUCUGCAAAUACUAUGAAUGAGUACCACAAUUACUCUACAUGUGUUUCAUCAGUUCUACUUUUACUUCUAAUAUCUUGAUUCUAGCAAUUUCUACCAGAAGCGUUGCUUGGAAAGAGAUCAUCCCAGCUUGACCAGGCUACCAGUCAAAAUCUACCUAUCCCUGGAUCAUGUACCCACUGGUGAUAUAAUCAGACAUGGCUGAGUAUGAGGAGAAGGAAGGAGAGUACAUAGUAAAAAUAUGACUUUCUAAAGCUUCCAUUAUGAAUAGGGAUUCUAGAAAGGACAGGUUCUGUCUGAAAGGUCCCUUAUUCUAUCAGACACGAAAACUAGCAUGAUUCCUAGAAAUCACCCUCUUUAAAUAACCUCAAUAGCAGUUACUACAUAUCAAUUUAUCUAUGCCUCAAUUUAUUUGUAACAAAAAAAGGAUUAAAAUAAUUCAAACACGAUUUACAACUACAUUCUGAAAGCUGAUAAGCAAAUGUGACUGAGUUCUUCAAAUGAAAAGCAACAUAAAUUAAAAUUAUUAUUUGAUUUCAACACUCCUUCUCCUGAGGGUGCUUUUAUGUUUUCCUCUAAAGAAACUGCAAUUUGUUCCCAGUACGAAAGUAUCUUUCCUGUUCAGUACUUGGUGGUAUACGAUGAGCGCCAAAUCUCUCUAAAUUAUAUUUCUGCUCACUUCUAACAAUUUAUUAAUUUUAUAAGCCAACAUCUUGACUAGUCUCUCAGCCGGCAUAGAUUUUGCAGUUUCUCAAACUUCCUAUUUAGAUCUCCCUUUUCCCACUAUUUGAUUUUCAUCAAGAUAAAUUUUUAUAGUUAUUAUCUUAUAAUGGUAAAAUUAAGAAAGCUGAGGUGAAAGUGGUCACAUGAAGGUGACUCCCAAAUUUACCUUGAGCUGGACAUAGAAAUAAAAUCAAAUAACAGUCUUCUCUAAUGUAUAAAAAUACAAAAAGUCACAGACAAGAGUUGUCUCAUUAGCCUUGCUUAAAGCCAUUCUUUUUCUACUGAAAAU